AUCCAACUGAGAAGUCCUAAAUAGAACGAAAUGCGCAUUCUAGAU
rnacentral:hammerhead_ribozyme from 1 species